ACUAGAUGCUCCCGGACUAUGAGAGAAAACAUAGUCAGAUAAAGAAAGAGAAGCUGGAGUAGCAGUGUUCUUAGGGGAGAUUGUGGGAGAAAAAGCAAUUAUUUACCUGAUUUGUUUAAUAUGAAUUGUUAACAAUUAGUAGAGACAUUUCUUAACUACCAAUGCUGUGCUUUUCAUAAGAAUUGUUCCCUCUUGCUCCCUGCAGCUGGUCUGGGCAUGUAGUCAAGGACAUGGGAUAGAGAUAAACUUGAGGAACAGAUAGACCUGUAUUGUUUCAAUUUCUCGUUGCUUCUGAGUAACCUGAUCACACAGCAUAAGACAAAGAGCCUCAGAGUAACCACCGUUUUUCAGUUCAUCCUGUCUUUUACUAUCUUCCAAGGGCACAGCUGUGUGGAGAUAUGAGUCGUAACGGAACUAACAUUAUUACUUGUUUGUGAGCUAUGACCCGAUACACACAGCCACAAGAAGAAAACAAGGUAGCUUCUGAUCUGCCGGGGAGGGGUGGAACCAGCCAUGACUAAGCAUUUUUAGGUCCACUAUAUAAGACGUCAGCAUUUCCUGUUCGUUUGGCUCUCACCCUACCCACUUGGGUGUGUGGGUGUUGUGACCAGCUCCCUAAUCGAUAAGUUAUUUGAAUAAAGAUUUAGUUUAAGUAUAACUCGUGAUAAGUUUGUCUCUCCUCAUUUGAUAGUAUUUAAAAUAUCCACCACAUUUGGCGACGAGGAUGGGAUGUGUAACUUCACCUGUAAACUGUGUACAGGGGAUCCCCAAAUUGGGAUCUCAGGGGAGCCACACUCCUGAUGGAGCUUAAGAAUAGCCUCUGGUACGUGGGCUCUGAGUGUGUAUUCCUGUGAGAGGGGGCACCUUGGAGGCGUAAGCAGGGCAGAGUCAGAGGAGAGUAAUCUGAGAGCACUGUCAGACUCAAAGAUACUCUACCACUGGUCGGUUGCUGGCGACAUAGAGCCGUCCUGACACUGAAUUGAUCACAGUGGGGAUUGGUGCGCUCUGUAGGGACGAGGGGACCAGAGUGUCUGUAGAUAAGCCAACAUUUGGUGAAGUCCCAAUGGAUGAAGGACCUCUGUCUGAAGGGUGUGCCUCAGAAGUGGUGAAGUCAGAUUAUUUUAAAUGUGCUAGCCAGGUAUGCCCUGGAGGAGCCAGAGUGUCUGUAGAGAAGCCAGUACUUAGUGAAGUCUGUACCACAGUAAUUGCAGUUGGCGAUAUCCCCGUGUGGAGAUAGCACCCCAUUCUGGUGCCACUAAUUAGGCAAUAUUUAAUGGAGAUAUGAAUUUCCCUGUUCAAAUGGAUAAAAUAUAAAAUCAUAAACAGCGCUAACCGGUUUUCUUUUUUUGUCUACCCCUGUGUGUGUGUGUCUGUGUUAUCUGUGAGUGUGUGAGUGGAACAGGAACCAUGGGAGCACACGGUAACAAGGGACACUGUGUUCAGAUCCCCCCACAGGGGCCCUGAAGGUUUUGUGCAGAUAAGUGGGGAAGGGACAUUCUGGACCAGGUGAAAUUACGGAUAGGGAAGGUGGUUUUCCGUUGACAGGGCCACUGAGUGUAACAAUGUUAGACAAAGUCAGGGAGAGACUGACAGAGUAUGAAGGGACUAAAAAAGGUCAAAAAGAUAAAAUAGGCUGGGUUAGAUUCAGAAAAUGGGAAAGAGAGACAAAGGCAUACACAGAGACAGGACCCAUUUCGGGGACAGCCCCGUCAGAAUAUGGUAGAGCAGACUGAGGAGGGAGAAAAAAAACAGAUAAAGACGAGAUAGUGAGAAAGAACAGAAAAGACGAUGAGAGAGAUUUCCCGCCUCCCUAGUUUUCUCCUCCCAAUCUCUACCCAGUGCUGUCUGGGCCUGUGGCUGCGGCUGUCGACCUCCCUCCCCCGCCACCGCCUGAUCCAGCAGACCCAGUGGAAGCCCUCGCUCUACACCCCACUGCGCCUCCUCCCCCAACUCCACAGUUCACUCCUGUGCCUCCCAUCACGUAUGAAUCUCCCCUAGUAGCAGCAGUGGUGGACAAACUGCUCUCUGGGGCUGGCCAUGCUGGCGGUGGGAAUGACGUCCCUGACCACAGAGGAAGGGUGCGGCUGGGGGAGCCAGACAAGCGGAGAGAAAGAGUCGCAACCCGUUCCUCGAGGGCGCUCCCCCAACCAGCCCAGAUGACGAUAAGACUCAGAAACUACAAGCUGCUCACUUGACAUUCUACCAGGGGGCCGCACUAGCAGCUACUGGAGGGGGUGUGAGUGGUGGAAGAAUCUGCUACAACUGUCGAAAACAAGGCCAUUGAGCCGCAAGCUGCACUCAAACUGCCCAGCAGCAGAGGGGAAGAGGCAGAGGGAGGCCCAGCGGGAGGACAAGGACUGUAGUAUCCCCCUGCUCAACAGCCAUGGCAGCCGCCAACCAACCAAUGGCCAGGGCCACCCCAAAAGCGGGCCCCUCAGCAACAAUGGGGCCCACAAGGGGGCCCUCAAGGCUGAGGCCAGCCUGGGGCCUGGCAGCCUGGGGCCGCCUGCACAGACAACCCUGUACAAUCCAGGAGAGGAGGAGGCAGGGGAAUAUUGACGGGCGGAGGGGGAAGUAGUAGUUGAGUUAGAAUUGUUAGAGCAACUAGAACAUUUGUUUUUAAAGAGCCAUACCCUUCCUCGAAUCGAGCCAACAGUGGAGGCUUGCAUCAAUGGUUUGCCGGAUCAUUCUAAACCAUUGAAUCUAUUGGUGUUUGAAAAAAAAAGAAGAACGUUUUAUGUCGUCUGUCCUUAUACAGGAAGUGGGAAGCAGUGGCCCGUUGCAUACUACUCUAAGAGACUUGACAGUAUGGUGAGAGGGUUGGUGUGUUGCCUCAGAGCGGUAGCAAUGUCAAUGUGCCAUGUCCCUACCAACUGACGAUGAAGUCUUCUCAUUGCAGCUGUUGUAUGGGCCCUGGGAGAAGUGGCCACAAUGCAACUGAGGAAUACCAGCAUAGUCCCACGGCAGGACUUAAAUAACAGCCGCUCCAGCUCGAGCCAACGGCAGGCUCAGGACAGGAGUCCAGCAAACAAUAGCCACCCCAUUGUUUAAGAAGACUGAGAUCGAUGCAUCAACAUGAUGAUUGUCCUCUUUGUACAGAUUAAGAGUUUACUUCUGUAUAACUUUUUAAUUGUCUAAAUGAUUCCCUUAAGAGUGUUUUGCGCCAAGUGAAGGUGAAGUUAAUUAGAGUAAGAAUUCACAUUUUAAAUGAUUUGGACUGAUUAAGAUUUAGCGAAGGGAAAACUAAUUAAAUGUUUAUGUUAUUAAUAUGUGUUAAUGGUGUUAAUACGGUGUUUGAUUUAUUGUGUGUUUUCUUUUUUGGUUAGUGGAUUUUUCACAGGUUAGAAAUGAUACCCCUUAAAGGGCACACAAUUGACAUUUUCUGAAGUUUCUAUUGCCAGAGUUUUGGUUGCACACAUAUAAAUUAUCCUGAUAACAAAUAUACUGAAAAACCAAGUGUUAACCUGGUACACAAAAUGUUUGAAAUGUCUUUAAAUAAUGUCUGAGGUCAGUGAUGUUUGACCUGUUGCAUACUUAGAAAUGCGCCUGUUGUAGACAGAAAUUUACUCACAAGGUCGGCUUAGUAGGAAUGGAAUAUUGGCUGAACGCCUAGACGCUGUGAUUGCCAGAUGUUCACUCCUGAGCAGCCGCACUCUGGGAGCAAACGCUUUACUUAGAAAGAAUCCACUUGGCUAUCUUUGUUAUACCGAAUCAUCAGCAGACACUGGCAAGUUAGAACUGUAUAUGGUAUGUGUAGAAGGUAAUAGGUUUGAGACUCAGUAACCCAAAGGGAGGUUCCUCAUAAGGAUGAUAUACAUGUCAUAUGUCACAUCUGGAAGGUUUCUAUUUUUUUAUUUGUAUCUUUACAUAUGGUGUGAAUUUGUCAUAUUAUUGUAUAGAAGAUUGAAUCUUCUAAGAGGGGAAUGUGGGAGAAAAAUCACGUAUUUACCUGAUUUGUUUAAUAUGAAUAGUUAACCAUUAAUAUGCUUAACAAUAGUAGAGACAUUUCUUAACUAUAAUGCUGUGCUUUUCAUAAGGAUGGUUCUCUCUAGCUCCCUGAAGCUGGUCUGGGCGUAUAGUCAAGGACAUGGGAUAGAGAUAAACUGGAGGAACAGAUAGACCUGUAUUGUUUCAAUUUCUCGUUGCUUC